rnacentral:rRNA from 1 species
UAGGGAAUUUUCGUCAAUGGGCGCAAGCCUGAACGAGCAAUGCCGCGUGAGUGAGGAAGGUCUUCGGAUCGUAAAGCUCUGUUGCAGGUCAGAAAAGAAGGGAAGAGGAAAUGCUUUUUCUUUUUGAUAGUAACCUGCCAGAAAGUCACGGCUAACUACGUGCC